rnacentral:antisense_RNA from 1 species
GGACAAAAAGUCUGCCCUGUAACGGUACUUCUUGCUCAGUGAAAGCAGCAACCCCACCUCCUCAUCCCUUUCAUUGGCUUAUAAACCCGUCCUUUAAACCACUAUUUGGGAGGUCGGGCCAUCAGUUUCGGCGUUUUUUCCAGAGAGGCAGGCUCACAGCGAUAUCGCGAGAGACGGGAAUUGCUCUGUCACGCAGGCUGGAGUGCAGUGGUGCCAUCUCGGCUCACUGUGACCUCUGCCUCCCGGGCUCAAGCCAUCCUCCCACCUCAGCCCUCCAAGUAGCUGGGAUUACAGGUCACCAUCUUCUCACUUGCCUCUGACUUUUCCCACAGGGGAGAGCUGGUCAAAUAGUACAGUUCCCCGAGGUGAAUGGGGAGAAGCUGGGCAAAGGAAGAAUGAUCUUCAGGCAGUAAGGGCCCCUACUCCAGUAUGAUUGGUGUCCUUAUAAAAAGGACAAAUUGGACACAGACACCCUACCAAGAAGAACACUAUGUGAAGAUGAAGGCAGAGGUCAGGGUGAUGCCUCUACUUGCUGAGAAACUCCUACAGUUGCCAGCCCACCACUAGAAGCAAAGGAAGAGGCACAGCCCUCAGAAGGAACCAACCCUGCUAAUGCCUUGGUCUUGGACUUGCAGCCUCCAGAACAGCGAGCCAAUACAUUCCUGUGGUUUAAGCCACUGACUGUGGCACUUUAUUACAGCAGCACUAGGAAACUCAUACAGGAGGUGACAGUGCUCAGAUGGAACAGGACCUUCCACUUCCAUGGCAAAGCCCUCAUCUUUCGUGCCCAUGUGCCAUUUGAUCUGCACACAAAUCACUGAGCAGGUUCCUCAGCUAUUAUUAUCUCCACCUUUCAGAUGGAAAGAACUGAAGCUCAAGAGGGCCAAAGAAAUUUGGCUAUGGCUUUAUUUAUUUAUUUAUUUUUCAUGGGCAGAAGUAGAUUUCAGUUUUGGUCUCUUUCCACUACCAUAUCAGGUUGCCUUAAGGCAACUUUGAAAAGUCUAAAAUAUCAAACAGUUUGUGAAGUUAUUAUCAUUAUUCAUAAAGGACAGCGCGAGGUUAGUCUUACCCUAGAGAGCCCCAUUGUUGGCCCAAAGCAUCUUGCCAGGAGUCCUAUAGGACCAUGUUUUCAAGGCCCCCAAAGAGCACAGGGCUGUUGGUCCAUCCCAGCUCCUGGAAUGGCUCAUUGUACCCACCCUGCCUCCAGCUGAGGACCCAGGGAGAAGCACUGACCCCUGAUCUUGCUAUCCCUUCCAUUACACUCUUGCCAGAGGAGCUUUUUUCAGGGGUGGCCACUUCCCUCUCCUCAAGAGAAUUCUGGGGACCAACCAGCUCAGGCCUGCUGUUGGCCUCAGGGUCACAUCUUACCCAGACACCCCCACCAUUCCCUCAGGUCUAGGGAUGCUGCUCCCCCACCGCGGGAUCUUCUUUUUAUUUUUAUUUAUUUAUGUUUUACUCAUGCCUAACACAGUGUAAAGGGAUUUCUUUUCUUUUCUUUUCUUUUUUUUUUGAGAUGGAGUCUCGCUCUGUCACCCAGGCUGGAGUGCAGUGCAGUGGCGCUAUCUCGGCUCACUGCAACCUUCACCUCCUGGGUUCAAGUGAUUCUCCUGCCUCAGCCUCCCAGUAGCUGGGAUUACAGGUGCGCCACCACAUUUGGCUAAUUUUUUUACUUUUAGUAGAGAUGGGGUUUCACCGUGUUGGCCAGGCUAGUCUCGAUCUCCUGACCUCAGGUGAUCCACCUGCCUUGGCCUCCCAGAAUGCUGAGAUUACAGGCAUGAGCCACCGCUCCCAGCCAGGAUCUUCUUUUUAAAGCUACCACCACCCACUCUCAUUCCCCAGGACUCUCCUCACCCCUCUGGCUGCAAAGGGAGCUGGUGUCCCUACUGGCUCCUUCCUUUCUGCCCCUAAAGACAGGCACACAGGUGAUUUUCCUUUUAAGUGUUUUUCUGUGGAUCACUGCGGGGAAAUCGAGAGGGGCUGAUAAAAGGAAUAAUCUUUGAUAGUCUUUCAGUUGGGUUGCUGAUUUUCUUGCUGGACUGACAAGAACAAUCUUCCCUACUUGGAAUCUUGGUUUUAUUCCUUAGCAUGGGCCUUAUCAAACCCACUUUUUAAUGAAGGGAGAAUGAAGAAGCCAUCGAAGCAGACCUCUAGCUGCCAGUCAGGUCUGCUCUGAAGGUUGCCUAUCUGUGGGGGCAUGUGACUUCUGGGGCUUUCCAGAUUGAGUAAUGCUUACCCCACAUGUCUGAAAUUCUCCAAACACUAUUCCGGCCCUGCUGUGAUUCUUAGAGCAGAGGUUCUUUGCCUUUUUAGUGUAAUGGAUCCCUCAGCAACUUGGUGAGCCCUUCUCAGAAUAAAGUUUCUAAUGCAGAAAGUAAAACACAUGGGAUAAUAAGGGAAGUCAAGUCCUUUGAAAUCCUUAUCAAAAAUGUUUUUCAAAUUUUGUGAUAUAAUAAGUUUGGUUACUAUUAUAUUAUAUAGUAUAAUAUAACUUCAUAUCUAAUAGCUAUUGUUAUUUUGAAGUAGUGGUGAAUAUAUAUGCUACUUUGAGAUAUCUCAAACAACUGUAACUUGUUACAAAAAUAUCCAUGAUUUCUAUUGGUGACAAAGUCAAAA